UGGGGAAUUUUGGACAAUGGGCGAAAGCCUGAUCCAGCAAUGCCGCGUGUGCGAAGAAGGCCUUCGGGUUGUAAAGCACUUUUGUUUGGGAAGAAAAUGUUCGUGCUAAUACCAUGAGCAGAUGACGGUACCAAAAGAAUAAGCACCGGCUAACUACGUGCCAGCAGCCGCGGUAAUACGUAGGGUGCGAGCGUUAAUCGGAAUUACUGGGCGUAAAGCGUGCGCAGGCGGCUAUGUAAGACAGGUGUGAAAUCCCCGAGCUUAACUUGGGAACUGCAUUUGUGACUGCAUGGCUAGAGUGUGUCAGAGGGGGGUGGAAUUCCACGUGUAGCAGUGAAAUGCGUAGAUAUGUGGAGGAACACCAAUGGCGAAGGCAGCCCCCUGGGAUAACACUGACGCU
rnacentral:rRNA from 1 species